rnacentral:lncRNA from 1 species
AUGUGGGGCAGGAGGGUGCAGCCCUUGGCCGCGCCAUGGGGGCACUGGUUGUUACUGGUUGUUACUGGUUGGUGCUACUGGUUGUUACUGGUUGUUACUGGUGUUGGUGUUGGCGUUGGUGUUGGUGGUGUUGGAGCUGGUGUUGGUGUUGGUGUUGGUGCUGGUGUUGGUGUUGGUGUCAGCAUCAGCGUUGGUGCUGGUGCUGGUGUUGGUGAUGUUGGUGUUGGUGCUGGUGUUGGUGGUGUUGGUGUUGGUGUCAGUGUUGGCGUCGGUGUCGGUGGUGUUGGUGAUGUUGGUGUCGGUGUUGGUGUCGGUGUUGGUGUUGGUGAUGUUGGUGUUGGUGUUGGUGGUGUUGUUGGUGCUGGUGCUGGUUGUUACCGGCGGCGAUGUCGGGCAGCAUGGCGCAGCUCUUGGCCACGCGC